GUGGUGGUGUCUGGGAGCCCAGGGCAGCACAAGCAGCUGUGCCCUUGUAGGAAAUCAGACCAACUGCACUCUGAGAUGUCUUUUUAAAAGGGUAGCCAGCCAGGGAAGUGAUCCUUCUCCUCUGUCACUCCUGAGACCAUGCCUGGGGUCUUUUUAUUUCUCACUCUGUUUUGACCCUGAAAAUUCUCAAGUACUGGAAUGCACUGUUCACAGAUAUUGUACAGGCUCUGGCCUUGGAAAUUUUCCAGGCAUGACAGGCACAGCCCUGAGCAGCCUGAUCUAAUGAGACCUGCUCUGAGCAGGGACUUGGAGUGGGUGAUCUGCAGAGGACCUAUCCAACCUAAAUUGUGCUAUGGUAAGAGUAAAAAUAGUGUGGCUACAAGGAUUUGUUAAAGGCUACAAGGAAGGAGAGGUCAAAUGCAGAUCCUACUUGUUUUGAGGAAACCGAGAAUGGAAGGGUUAUGGUCAAGUGAAAGGACUGUUUAGUUGCAUUUGAGUGGUUUGGGGUUUUUUUCCCCCAACAAGCUUUUCAGAAGCUGAUUUAUGAGAUUUAUGAGAUGGGAUGGGCAGUGUGGCUAGAAACGUCCUUUAUCGGUUCCUGAGAUAUCUUCUCCUGAAUAGAGGGAGAAAGUCCACAGUGCCUGGAGGGGCUGAGUGGGACAGUUGGUGUCUGCAGGGUUUGGGGUUGUUGACCAUUGUGUUUGUGAGAGCUGCAGCCUUGGGGUGUGCUGAGAGGAGCUUGGGGCACCAUACAGGAGCCAGGAGAGGCCAACUCAACCGUGGUCUUGAGGUUGGUGAAACAAGAGGCACGAGGCAUGAAGGAAAGAGAGACUCCCAAGACGUUGCAGAGGAGGAUGUGUCAGAGAGCUUGGUCACCAGGUGCAUGUCUAUCCCCCUUUAACCCCUCACCUUGGAAAAGCAAAGGUGGUGUCUGCAGGAGCAACACGUGUCCCUGCUGGAGGAGGGAGGACCACAGCACGGGCAAUUCAAGCGUGCUAAGGAGAAGCAUUUUGUCUUCCCUGUUUCAUUCUUUGUUGCCCUUGCCAAGUCAUUUCCGGCAGCUGUGCUCUCUCAGGGCUCUUGGUGGGGACGUGUGGCUUUUUUGAGUCUCUCUCACACAUGCAGGAGGAUUGGUCUCAGCAUGCACCUCGGGUAUCUCAUCCUCGCUGCUUUCCUGAGGCAACCACUAGGCACCAUGGGGCAGACCACCGUCACCCAGCAAGAAGGACAAGUCACAGUCAAGGAGAGAGACACCUUCCAGACCACCUGCACCUACCAGGUCACUAACUUUGAUGGAUUGCUCUGGUACCAGCAGAGGAAAGGCCAAGCCCCACAGCUUAUCUCAUAUCAGGCAGCAGCUGGCCCCAGGCGGAGUGGCCGUCUCACCACAUUGCUGAACACCACAGGGAAAAACAGCCUUCUCCAGCUGGAGGAAGUCGAGGUCUCUGACGCUGCCUUGUACCUCUGUGCUGUGCAAGACACGCUGGUGCAGGAAGUUUCCUUGGCUGUGCAAGAAGCCAGGGGAGAGAGGGCAUUGGUUUGUGUGAGGCUGAGCUUGGGGGAAGGGGCCCUCAGCUCUCCCCUGGCAGUGUUGCUUGCCCUGUACACCCAGAGCUCUGCAGGUCAAAAUCCUCUUCCAGGAGAGGACAGUGUCAGUGGCUUGAGAGGAAGAAGAAGGUGGUGAACGAGUCUCAGGUUCCCUCGUUUUCACCGUGGGUUAUGUGGUUAUCCUGCCCAUGGCUUUGGAGAAGUGAUGGGCAAUGUAGGAGGUUGGGACCGCUUCUGCAAUGGUUCCCUGCUGCUCUUAACUUUCUGGUUUUGUCUACUGCACAUUGCUUCUUCAGGUAUUCCUGCAAGCCUGUUCCUUAGAGU